GCCAUUUUCGAGUGAUGCCUGAUCUCAUCAAUCUAGCGGGAGAGACAGGAUAACCUGUCCGAGAGUAUAGCGCCACUAUGACUCCGCCGGAAAAAUUACUUUAAAAAUCGCCAAAAAUUACUUGGAGCAAAGGGCAGUCGGCGGAGCUUCGCCAAGGCUGGCGCAGUCGGUUUUGACCUGUAGCAGAGAACCAAUUCUGGAGAACAGCCUCACUUCUUUGAUUGAAUACUUACAUAAUGCAUUGGAACAUGACAUGAGAUUAAGCUGGGAGCAGAGGCUGGGAGAUCGAUGCUGCUUGUCAGCUGUUGUGCAGAAUAACAUCAAUAUGCAAUAAUGGUGGCCAAAGGAGCCUGCACCCAUCCGUUUUUACAAACCCAGGUUUAAUAAUGAUAGAAUGAAGACCACAAUAAAAGAGACCUCUACUUAGCUCAGCAAUUCUUACCUUUCUUACCUAUUUGAUGAAGAUGUCUUUUGAAAGGUGUACUGCAAGGAACAAAAUGUUUGUAAAUUCUCCUUUUACCAAGGUGGAUAAUUACUGUACCUUCCUCAUGGAAAAAGUUUUAUUUAAA
rnacentral:lncRNA from 1 species